rnacentral:sRNA from 1 species
ACUGAGUUCAAAGCAGUGAUGUUUGGGUAAAGCAGUGAUGUUUGGGUAAGGCAGUGGAUGAGGUUAAGGGUUCCUGGGGUGGUUUAUUUGGUGAGACUGGGCAUGAUUCAGAAAAGCUGGAAGAUCUAGAGAGGGAUCUUGCAAUCUGAAGUUUGUUUAGUCACUGGAGGACCACCGCCUACUUUAAGAGAGAACACAGACAAUUCACCUCCAUAAAGGCACAGCCAGGGAGAGGAGUAGGCAGAGGUGACAGCAGAUCAUGGGGCUUCUCUUGAAAGGAAGACACCUCCCAGUAACGAACCCUCAUCGUCCAUUUACUGACUUAUCCUUAUGUCACUAGGAUUUGAACGUCUAUGACACUCUUCCGAGCUGACACAGUGAAGAACAUGGAAGGAGAACUCACCCAGUCUGCCAGGGUCACAGAUGAUCAUACUCAAGAUCUUCCUGGGGAGUCAACGGCAAAUUUCACUGGGCUACUUUACAGAUGAAGAAGGAAUAUAAAGAAGGUUCUGGGACCCUGAA